rnacentral:lncRNA from 1 species
GCACCAACAGAUUUGGGACCAGGCUACAGUUUCCUCACUUUAUAAAACACGAAGAAGAGUGCAGCUCAACUCCACAACAAAUCACCAACCGAAAACAACCUCAAGACGUGUACCAUAAGAAACACUUUACUUUGACUGCAGUACAAUCCAUAGUGCUUGAGCAUCUAGAUCAGGGAUCUCCAGCCCUGUUCCUGGAGUACAUACCUUCCUGUAGGUUUACACUCCAACCCUGUUCCUGGAGGUUUUAACUCCAACCCUGUUCCUGGAGAGAUACCCCUCCUGUAGGUUUUAACUCCAACCCUGUUCCUGGAGAGAUACCCCUCCUGUAGGUUUUAACUCCAACCCUGUUCCUGGAGAGAUACCCUCCUGGAGGUUUUAACUCCAACCCUGUUCCUGGAGAGAUACCCCUCCUGGAGGUUUUAACUCCAACCCUGUUCCUGGAGAGAUACCCUCCUGUAGGUUAAAUAGACUCAGACAGAUACAUCAAUAUUCACACUGACAGGUUAAAUAGACUCAGACAGAUACAUCAAUAUUCAAACUGACAUGUUAAAUAGACUCAGACAGAUACAUCAAUAUUCACACUGACAGGUUAAAUAGACUCAGAUAACACACUUGACUAGGGUGAAUGAUAAGAAUGUCCUCUUUCUCUCUCCCCCUCCCACGCAAGCGCGCACACACACACACACACCAAUCAUCGUCCUCAUUCAUCGCUGUUGCUGGACAGAUCCUCACAUAUUAUCCUGACAUUGAGAGCUCUCAUGGAGUGGAUCUGUGCAACAGGUGCUCAGGACGGUUUGGGGGGGGGGGGGUCGACAUCACUUCCUCCCUCCCAUCCCAGCAAUGCACUCUGGGAUCUGUAGUAGCAUACAUAUACACAUUACGAAUGCUUUUUUUUUCUUCUUCUUCCUCCUUACAAUUUUCAAAUGUAUUUUUGUAUAAUUUAUUAAGGGACAUUGUACGCCCUAACUGGUG